rnacentral:lncRNA from 1 species
GAGAAUGGAAAUGGGGAAUAUGUCAAAGAGACAACAACCCGACCAAAUAAAAAACAACAGCAGAGGGUCACCAACAGGUCUUCAAUGUAGCGAGAAAUUCAAUUCCCGCACCCGGAGGCGUCCUUCAGCUGGCCCCUAAACAAAUAUAUACUAGUCCAGUGAUAAUGAACGCCAUACUAAUUUCCAAAUUGUACACAAGAAACUAAAAUUAAAAUAAUACAAGACUAACAAAGGCCAGAGGCUCCUGACUUGGGACAGGCGCAAAAAUGCGGCGGGGUUAAACAUGUUUGUGAGAUCUCAACCCCCCCCCUAUACCUCUAACCAAUGUAGUAAAGUAAAUGCA